rnacentral:rRNA from 1 species
AUUCCAGCUCCAAUAGCGUAUAUUAAUGUUGUUGCAGUUAAAAAGCUCGUAGUUGGAUUCCUGGCACGGGGUAGCCGGUCCGCCUUGCAAAAGGUGCGCACUGAGCGGCCUCGGCCAUCCUUGCGAUGGUCUAUCCUGGCACUCAGUUGUCGGGGUGGGGAUUCGCGACGUUUACUGUGAAAAAAUCAGAGUGUUCAACGCAGGCUUACGCCUUGAGUACAUUAGCAUGGAAUAAUGAGAUAGGACCUUGGCGGUCUAUUUUGUUGGUUUGCACGCCGAGGUAAUGAUUAAAAGGGACGGUUGGGGUUCUUAGUAUUCAAUUGUCAGAGGUGAAAUUCUUGGAUUUAUGGAAGACGAACUGCUGCGAAAGCGUCGAACAAGGACGUUCUCAUUG